CGUCAGAGCGACUCGACUCGCCGUCGACGGUGACUCGUGUCGCCCCGCGCCAGUCCGCCACCGACCUCGCGAUCGUCCACGUCGCCGACGCCGCCGCUGUCGUCUGUCGCGUCGUGCUACUGGUGGUGGUGGUGGGUGGGUGAUCAGUGCGUGAACGGAAGAAAGAGAACCGCGCGCACGCACGUAUACGCAUAUUUAUAAUAUAUAUUUUGACAACCGCCGAGAGAGAGAGUCUCGUUGAUCAAGACGGAGUGGGGAUCCAUCGGCGGCCGGUCGAUUCGAGUGAUCGACGGGCGCGAAAACGCGGCUCACGUUGCGUCGGGGGGGGUCGUCGGCGCGAAUCCUUGCGGUCGCACGUUGCCGCCGUUGAUCGGGGGAAGAGCCAGGUUCGGUCGCUUCCGAAGACGCCCGGCGUCUGCCGGAUCCAGGAAGAAGCGCACGGAAGAGACACGGAGGAGACUCGUCGGGGGUAGUUUGUCAAACUCGGAGCCAACCGCGUCGCACGAACAUGUCGUCCAUGCGAACGCAGUCGACCGGCGGCGGUGUCCUCGGUUUGAGUAGCAUCGGCUCCGACCGUACGGGCGCAGCUUCUACCGGCGCCGGCUCCCACUCGCAUUCCCAUUCGCACAGGAGGCAUCAUCAUCAACACCAUAGGAGCAGAAGCGCACCCCGGGCCCUGGAGAAACCGCCCAGAAAGCGGCAUCUGAAUCCUGGACGGAGUCUCGCUUCCAUUCCCUGCCAGAUCAAGCUGUCGAUGCUGAACAGCGGCCUCAUCUCGUUCAGUGAGUUGACUCGAUUCCAUCCCCUUAAUGAAUCGCUCCGCCAUGGUGCUUCCGGUUAACCCACAUCCAGCUGAAUGAACUAACGUCUAAAGAAUUCGUCGUAUAGAUUGGAAAGACGCCCUAAAGAGACAUUCUGCUAUUAACACUAUGCCGUCCGGUGGCACCACGUUGGUGUCAUGCGCAAAACUAUCGGGCAAAUGCCGGUGGCACCACGUUGGUAUCAUGCGAUUUAUGAUCUUCCGAGGACCUC